rnacentral:rRNA from 1 species
UACGUAGGGUGCGAGCGUUAAUCGGAAUUACUGGGCGUAAAGCGUGCGCAGGUGGUUAUGCAAGACAGAUGUGAAAUCCCCGGGCUUAACCUGGGAACUGCAUUUGUGACUGCAUGACUAGAGUACGGCAGAGGGGGAUGGAAUUCCGCGUGUAGCAGUGAAAUGCGUAGAUAUGCGGAGGAACACCGAUGGCGAAGGCAAUCCCCUGGGCCUGUACUGACGCUCAUGCACGAAAGCGUGGGGAGCAAACAGG